rnacentral:rRNA from 1 species
CGGUAAUUCCAGCUCCAAUAGCGUAUACUAUAGUUGUUGCAGUUAAAAAGCUCGUAGUUGGAUUUCUGCGGGGACGGAGCGGCCGGACGCAACUUGCGUCUCGAGCUAGCGCUUUCCCCGCAUCCUGCCGCGAACCGUGCUACCACUAGCUUGGUGGCGCUGGGGAUCGGCUCGAUUACUUUGAGAAAAAUAGAGUGUUCAAAGCAGGCCACACGCCUUGAAUAAGUUAGCAUGGAAUAAUGACUAAGGACUUUGGUUCUUUUCGUUGGUGUUCGGGACUGAAGUAAUGAUUGAUAGGGACAGUUGGGGCGGUCUGUAUUCCAAAGCGAGAGGUGAAAUUCUUAGACCUUCGGAAGACAAACAGCUGCGAAAGCGUUCCGCAAGGAUGUUCCCUUUGAUCAAGAACGAAAGUUGGGGGAUCGAAGACGAUCAGAUACCGUCGUAGUCUCAACUAUAAACUAUACCAGCUAGGGAUCGGCCAACGUUUAAUUAUUCGACUUGGUCGGCACCUUAUGAGAAAUCAAAGCAUCUGGGUUCCGGGGGGAGUAUGGUCGCAAGGCUGAAACUUAAAGGAAUUGACGGAAGGGCACCACCAGGCGUGGAGCCUGUGGCUUAAUUUGACUCAACACGGGAAAACUUACCAGGUCCAGACAUAGGAAGGAUUGACAGAUUGAUAGCUCUUUCUUGAUUCUGUGGGUGGUGGUGCAUGGCCGUUUUUAGUCGGUGAAGUGAUUUGUCUGCUUAAUUGCGUUAACGGACGAGACCCCAGCCUGCUAAAUAGCGCGGCCGAGCUUUGCUCGGUGCGAGCUUCUUAGAGGGACCAUGAUGCGCGAUAGCACAAGGAAGUUUGGGGCAACAACAGGUCUGUGAUGCCCUUAGAUGUUCUGGGCCGCACACGGGCUACACUGGCGCCUGCAACGAGCAUAUCAGCUGGCCCGAGAGGGUCUUGGCUAAUCUUUGGAACCGGCGCCGUGCUUGGGAUUGACCAUUGCAAUUGUUGGUCAUGCAACGAGGAAUGCCUUGUAAACGCGAGUCAUCAGCUCGCAUUGAAUACGUCCCUGCCCUUUGUACACACCGCCCGUCGCUCCUACCGAUGAAUGUUCCGAUGAAAUUUUCGGAGAGCGCCAGAGAACGGGGCUCUGCCUUGCAGAUCUGGAGGCUCAAAGUCACUUAAAUCUGAACAUUUCGAGGAAGGAGAAGUCGUAACAAGGUAACC